rnacentral:rRNA from 1 species
AUUGAACGCUGGCGGCAGGCCUAACACAUGCAAGUCGAGCGGAUGACGGGAGCUUGCUCCUUGAUUCAGCGGCGGACGGGUGAGUAAUGCCUAGGAAUCUGCCUGGUAGUGGGGGACGACGUUUCGAAAGGAACGCUAAUACCGCAUACGUCCUACGGGAGAAAGCAGGGGACCUUCGGGCCUUGCGCUAUCAGAUGAGCCUAGGUCGGAUUAGCUAGUAGGUGAGGUAAUGGCUCACCUAGGCGACGAUCCGUAACUGGUCUGAGAGGAUGAUCAGUCACACUGGAACUGAGACACGGUCCAGACUCCUACGGGAGGCAGCAGUGGGGAAUAUUGGACAAUGGGCGAAAGCCUGAUCCAGCCAUGCCGCGUGUGUGAAGAAGGUCUUCGGAUUGUAAGGCACUUUAAGUUGGGAGGAAGGGCAGUAAGUUAAUACCUUGCUGUUUUGACGUUACCGACAGAAUAAGCACCGGCUAACUCUGUGCCAGCAGCCGCCGUAA